UGCCUACGGGACGCAGCAGUGAGGAAUAUUGGUCAAUGGCCGAGAGGCUGAACCAGCCAAGUCGCGUGAGGGAUGACGGCCCUACGGGUUGUAAACCUCUUUUGUCGGGGAGCAAGACCCGCCUCGUGCAGGCGGAGCGAGAGUACCCGAAGAAAAAGCAUCGGCUAACUCCGUGCCAGCAGCCGCGGUAAUACGUAGGGGGCAAGCGUUAUCCGAAUUUACUGGGUGUAAAGGGAGCGUAGGUGGCAAGGCAAGUCAGAUGUGAAAACCCGGGGCCCAACCCCGGGCGUGCAUUUGAAACUGUC
rnacentral:rRNA from 1 species